rnacentral:rRNA from 1 species
CAGCCGCCGCGGGAAUACGGAGGGUGCAAGCGUUAUCCGGAUUUAUUGGGUUUAAAGGGUCCGUAGGCGGACUUAUAAGUUAGUGGUGAAAGCCUGUCGCUUAACGAUAGAACUGCCAUUGAUACUGUAAGUCUUGAGUAUAUUUGAGGUAGCUGGAAUAAGUAGUGUAGCGGUGAAAUGCAUAGAUAUUACUUAGAACACCAAUUGCGAAGGCAGGUUACCAAGAUAUAACUGACGCUGAGGGACGAAAGCGUGGGUAGCGAACAGGAUUAGAUACCCCCGUAGUCCCUGUCUCUUAUAC